GGCAGGGUAGUUUAUUAUAGAACAGUAAAUUGCAAAUUUGAAAGUACAUACACUUUGUUUCUGUCU
rnacentral:tRNA from 2 species